CCAAGAAGCAUGUUCUUAUCAGUAUGCAAAGUUAUGAAUUAAGACGAAGGUGGCGUGGAGAGGAAAGAAAUUAUUUAUGAGAUCGAGUUGCCAGAACUUUUACUUACGAGUAAAAUUUUGUGAUCAAAGAGACUAGAGAACAGUGGAACAAGGUUCAAUAUUUAUGAGUUGAGUGGGAGGAACUUAUACUUCAUUUUCCGAUGAGAGAGACUAGAGACCAAGGUUGAUUUCAAAGAUUUAGAUUCAUUAUCACAUAUGGAAGUGUGCACCAUUCAUCAUCCAAGCAUGUUGUUAUCAGUAUGUAAAGUGAUGAACUAAGAUGAAAGUGGUGUGGAACGGAAAGCUAUCUUUACGAGAUUGAGUUGCAAGAACUUUUACUUUGAAUUUUGUGAUGAGAGAGACAACAGAACUGUGGAACGCAGUCCAAUAGCUAUGAGUUGAGUUGGAAGAACUUUAAUCCCCUUUUCCGAUGAGAGCAAUAAAAAAAAAAAAUUCAUUUAAACGACUCAGGUUCAUCAUCGGAUGUGGAACUUAGCGCCAUUUACCUCCUAGACAAGUUGCUUUUAGUAUGUAAAGUGUUCAAUCUUCUUAUUUUAAUCUAAAAUUUCUGUUGAGUAUAAUAUGCUUUGGUAAAUUUUGUAUAAACUUAUUUGUUUUUUUAAUUGCUGCGUUGAACCAUUCCAGGUUACCCGGACCGCUUCGCGGUGCAACCCCCCGAAGCGCUUUGCGCCUCAGGCAUUUAGCGUCAAGUACGCAUUACUCGCAUACAUUUUUAUAUUAUAGAGAUAAAGCUAACGAUUUUAAGACACGAUACGUUUGGAAAACCUAACAUGGACAGAAUUGAAAUCAGAAUAGUUUAUCCUAUGAUUUGUUCACUCUGCAGUGAGCCCGUGUUCUCAUCCUACAUUAAUACUACUUUAAUAUUUUAAGUAAAGGGCAAUUUUUUUUAGUACUACUUUAAUCUUUUAAAUGAUGGGCAAUUUUUUUAGUACUACUUUAAUCUUUUAAAUAAUGGGCAAUUUUUUUAGUGUAGUUUCAGUGACAGUGUUGUGAGUGCUUUCAGCCUGGCGUCGGGCAGUUGGAUAACCUACUGCUGAAUCGUCUCCACUGAGCUGUCUACUGCUGAUCGAGUUCAGCACGGCUCCGUGACGGAUAGCCUAAGGAGCGCGCUCUCCCGGCUGCGUCAGCGGACUGCCAAUUCCGGUUCCGGGGACUCCUCCCCAGAUGCCUCUCCAACGCACACACUUACGG